GAGUUUGAUCCUGGCUCAGAACGAACGCUGGCGGCGUGGAUAAGACAUGCAAGUCGAACGCUUGUUAGAGGGUAGCAAUAUUCUGUAGCAGGAGUGGCGGAAGGGUGCGUAACAUGUGGGUAAUCUGCCGUGAAGGCUGGGAUAACUUGCUGAAAGGCGAGCUAAUACCGGAUGAGAUAACCGAGAGGCAGCUUUUGGUUAUGAAAGUUGGGGACUGUAAAAGGCCUGACGCUUCACGAUGAGCCCGCAACCUAUCAGCUAGUUGGUGAGGUAACGGCUCACCAAGGCUAGGACGGGUAGCUGGUCUGAGAGGACGACCAGCCACACUGGAACUGAGAGACGGUCCAGACACCUACGGGUGGCAGCAGUCGAGAAUUUUUCACAAUGGGCGCAAGCCUGAUGGAGCGACGCCGCGUGGGGGAUGAAGGGCUUCGGACCGUAAACCCCUGUCAUUUGCGAACAAAGCUGCUGGCCUAAUAUGCCGGUAGUUGAUAGUAGCAAAAGAGGAAGGGACGGCUAACUCUGUGCCAGCAGCCGCGGUAAUACAGAGGUCCCGAGCGUUGUUCGGAUUUACUGGGCGUAAAGGGUGCGUAGGUGGCGGGGUAAGUCUGGUGUGAAAGCUCCGAGCUCAACUCGGAAAAGCAUCGGAAACUAUCCCGCUGGAGGGUCGGAGGGGAGACUGG
rnacentral:rRNA from 1 species